rnacentral:misc_RNA from 1 species
UGUGGGAGCUGGCUUGCCUGCGAUAGCGUCAGGUCAGCCAGCCUUUUGGUCGCUGAUCCACCGCUAUCGCAGGCAAGCCAGCUCCCACA